rnacentral:rRNA from 1 species
GCUUACGGCCAUACCACCCUGAGCACGCCCGAUCUCGUCUGAUCUCGGAAGCUAAGCAGGGUUGGCUUGGUUAGUACUCGGAUGUAGACUGCCUGGGAAUACCAGGUGCUGUAAGCU